ensembl:lncRNA
GCGGCGUCUAGACAGAGAGAGAGCCCACUCUGAGCGGCCGGAGAUACAGCUUCACACACAAGGCUCUCUGCACAGCCACAACAACAUUGUGUUUUUGCUUGCAGUGGUCUACCUCUUUCCUGGCGUGCCCUGUCUGAAGAAGUUCUUGGCGAACUCAACCAUGUCAUAUUUGCUGUCUUGCAGGAGACUAUCGUACGUAUCUCCCUCGCCACGGAGAUCAAACUCCUCAAGUGACACCCUCUGAAAUUGAAAAAUAAACACACCGGAAAGGAAACUCUGAGUAAAGUUUGCCGCAUUUAGGCUGUAUGUGUGUUAAUGUUGUGUGUGUGUAUGUGUGUAUUUGUCUGUGUGUGUGUGUGUGUGUGUGUGUUGUGUAAGUGUUCUUUUUUUUUGUGUAUGUAUGUAUGUGUGUAUGGCUAUUAGACGCAGUCAUUACGUUUGCAGCACCUCUAGACCUGAUCAAUGUGUGUGUGUGUGUGCGUGUGUGUGUGUGUUUGUGUGUUUGUCUGUAAGUGUCAGUGAGUUUUGUUUUUGUGUGUAUGUGUUGUAUGUCUAUGAGCGUGUGUAUGUGUGUAUGGCUAUUAGACGCAGUCAUUACGUUUGCAGUACCUCUAAAACCUGAUCAAUGUGUGUGUGUGUGUGUGUGUGUGUGUGUGUGUGUGUGUGUGUGUGUGUGUGUGUGUGUGUGUGUGUGUGUGUGUGUGUGUGUGUGUGUGUGUGUGUGUGUGUAUGUGUGUGUUUGUGGGUUUGUCUGUAAGUGUCAGUGAGUUUUGUUUUUGUGUGUAUGUGUUGUAUGUCUAUGAGUGUGUGAAAGUGUGUAUGGCUAUUACAUCCGGUCAUUACGUUGGCAGCAUCUCUAAGACCGUGUCAAUGUGUGUGUAUGUGUGUGAGUGACUGCGUGAGUGCAUGAGUGAGUGAGUGAGUGAGACAGUGAGUGAGUGAGUGAGUGAGUGAGUGAGUGAGUGAGUGAGUGAGAGAGUGAGUGAGUGAGUGAGUGAGUGAGUGAGUGAGUGAGUGGUGGUGUGAGUGAGACAGUGAGUGAGUGAGUGAGUGAGUGAGUGAGUGAGUGAGUGAGUGAGUGAGUGAGUGAGUGAGUGAGUGAGUGAGUGAGUGAGUGAGUGAGUGAGUGAGACAGUGAGUGAGUGAGUGAGUGAGUGCGUGAGUGAGUGAGUGAGUGAGUGAGUGCAUGAGUGAGUGAGUGAGUGAGUGAGUAUGGCUAUUACAUCCAAUCAUUAUGAUUGCAGUAUCUCUAAGAUGGUGUCAAUGUGUGUGUGUGUGUGUGUGUGUGUGUGCGUGCGUGCGUGCGUGCGUAUCACCUCUAACGUCGGGUCUAUCUCAUGGGCGGCCAUGGUGGACGCCACGGCGACGGCCACGGCCGACGACACGGCGAACUGCCCCGCCCCUCCCCGGGGUUCCGCCGUGCGGUUCAGCGGGACGGACAGGAAGUCGGGCGCGGCCACGGGGCGGACGCACUCCACGGGGAAGGCCGCGGAGCGGCCGUGCACCGCGCCGAACUUCCACCCUGGAGCGCCAAACACGAGUCACGUGAUCCACGCAAAACACACGUCAUGGGAAGGCCUCGUUCCUACCCAGGGGUCUUCAGUCAAGACUGUCACACCGCAGUGCAGUCAUACCAGGCAUGACAGCAUCAUGUGUAGUCAUUGAAGGAAGCCCACGUUUGAUUACAGAUCAUCCACCACUGCUCCAGUGCUGCCAUGGUUCAAAAUGAUCUCCAAGAGGGACCCUGUUGGCUGAUGAUAAAACUAUCUACAGUCUAACUAUCUAUACCUACAGUCUGCUCGACGUAGCUAGAUACCAAUGGAUACCUCUUCAAAGGACGUUAUCUUUUAUUUAAAACAAGAAGGGAUGAACUACUUAAGAUGAUGCAAACAUUUGUUCUGACUUUUGAAUGAGUUGAGUGAUGGUAUUUCCACAAGGUGUUGACGAAUGAUCGACACCUUGACAUGAGCUGAUCACAUGUCAGGGUUAUGCCUAUCAUCAUAUGUGAUCAUCUCAUGUCAUGAUAUCAUGUCAUGAUAGGACCUAUCAUGACGUGAUAGUUCACCUGGCCAUGUGUUAAUACAAGGUGUAGCCACAUCCUUCAUGUGUCCUGUUCCUUAUAUUUGUUUAAUAUAUUUACAUUGAACAAAUAGGUACAUUAGUCUUUGAGUGACGCAUUCAAGUCGAAGAUAUUAUGCAAACAAAUACAACUGUGCAAACAUUACACUAAUGCAAGGAGGGAUAAGAUGUUGUAAGGAAAUUGUUUUUAACGUUGAAUUGGCCAUAUAGUGAUUUGGAUUGAAUGGAUGUGUACCUUGUUCCAACUUACCCAAAGAAGACCAUUUAUAACUUUAACUCUUUAGAAAAGCUAUACUUUAAUCUAGUAUCCCUGAGUGCAUAUGUAAGAAAUACAACAUUUAUUGGAUUGGAAUAUAAUGGACGACAGAGCCGGUGAUUCAGCGGUUGAUUAACUCCUCCUAAGUUCAUUAUUUCCCAAUAACGUGACACCCCGGAGUGGUUUAUUCCACUAACACCGCAGUCACCAGCAGUGAUAAGACAUUAGUGCCUUUCAUCUAUAACGUUAUUGGUUUUCUAUCGACUUAAUGAGCUGAAAUUAAAAUAUUCUUCUGCCGUGCUGUGAGAAUAUAGUAUAUGCUUUGUCGAGAAGACAAAGGAUGGUUUUAUCUCAGUGUAGUUGUGAAUGUGUUAGGGUAAUGCACACACCCAAAACAUUAUCAGGAUCAAGUAUUUAACAAAACUGUAUGCAUCUGUUCCUAGCAAUCGUCUGUGACCCCAAAAUAACAAGAAAUCCACCUCAUACUCACCAAACUCCUGAGUAUCUCUCUUCAUUUCCUCCAGGAACACCACCUUCUUCCUCACCACACAUCCAUAGCUGAACCCUGGAGCAAACAAACACACACACAAACACAAACACACUCGCUGAUAUACAGUACAUACACAUGCUCGGCAGGCCGUGAAACACAGCCCUGGCCUCCUGGCUAACGGAGCGCGAGAAGGCGUCACGCUCCUCAGGCCUCGCGCCGCCUCACCCUUCUCCAGGCCGUCCAUCACUUGCACCCUGAUGAUGUCGCCUUUGUGGAAACUGAGGCGCGAGUGAUCGUCCGUCACGAAGUUCCUCUCAGCUAUCACGUAGUCCGAGUCCUGGAGGAAGGGGAGGAGAUGGAAUGAGAACGAAGGGAGGGAGUGGGAUGCUUCAGUGGACACUGGAGGGCCUCACGGGUCACCGUCCGUCGAGCGCUGCACAGGCGUCUCGGUUUAUCCUGAGGGCGGCGAGCGUGCACCUGCUUGAUCUCGGUGAUGAAGGUGUCGAUGAGGUGCUUGACCUGCGGGGCCUUGGCUGAGAACAGGAUCAGCUUCUCGUUGGUCAGGUUGAACUCCAGCAUGUUCUCCGAGGGGAUGGUGACGAACAGGAUGUCUGCGUAGCUGCGCGAGAGAAGAGAGGGAGAACCGAGCAACAUCGUAUGAGUGCGGAUCUGUGGGGACGUGGGGGCUUGAGGAUGGACUUGUGUUUAGGGAGUUCGACUCCAUGUGGAAAGGCACUGGGUUUGAUCCCCAAUGUCAGCCUAACUUUUACCUGCUCCUUCAUAGGAGUCGAUUUCAGUAUAAGCAGCCUCGGAUGAAAGAUUCAGCAAUAAUAUGGAUUAUUACCC